rnacentral:rRNA from 1 species
CAGUCGAGGGGCAGCGAGUAGAUUGCUUGCAAUCUACGUCGGCGACCGGCGCACGGGUGCGUAACGCGUAUGCAACCUACCCAUUACAGGGGGAUAACACUGAGAAAUCGGUACUAAUACCCCAUAACAUCCAGGGAGGCAUCUUCUUGGGUUGAAAACUCCGGUGGUAAUGGAUGGGCAUGCGUUGUAUUAGUUAGUUGGUGGGGUAACGGCUCACCAAGACGACGAUACAUAGGGGGACUGAGAGGUUAACCCCCCACAUUGGUACUGAGACACGGACCAAACUCCUACGGGAGGCAGCAGUGAGGAAUAUUGGUCAAUGGACGCAAGUCUGAACCAGCCAUGCCGCGUGCAGGAAGACGGCUCUAUGAGUUGUAAACUGCUUUUGUACGAGGGUAAACGCAGAUACGUGUAUCUGUCUGAAAGUAUCGUACGAAUAAGGAUCGGCUAACUCCGUGCCAGCAGCCGCGGUAAUACGUAGGGGGCAAGCGUUAUCCGGAUUUACUGGGUGUAAAGGGAGCGUAGACGGCGAUGCAAGCCAGAUGUGAAAGCCCGCGGCUCAACUGCGGUAGUGCAUUUGGAACUGUAUGGCUGGAGUGCAGGAGAGGCAGGCGGAAUUCCUAGUGUAGCGGUGAAAUGCGUAGAUAUUAGGAGGAACACCAGUGGCGAAGGCGGCCUGCUGGACUGUAACUGACGUUGAGGCUCGAAAGCGUGNGGAGCAAACAGGAUUAGAUACCCUGNUAGUCCACGCUGUAAACGAUGAAUACUAGGUGUCGGUGGGCAAAGCCCAUCGGUGCCGCAGCAAACGCAGUAAGUAUUCCACCUGGGGAGUACGUUC